GGCCCAGACUCCUACGGGAGGCAGCAGUGGGGGAUAUUGCACAAUGGGGGAAACCCUGAUGCAGCGACGCCGCGUGGGCGAAGAAGCGCCUCGGCGCGUAAAGCCCUGUCAGCAGGGAAGAAAAUGACGGUACCUGAAGAAGAAGUCCCGGCUAACUACGUGCCAGCAGCCGCGGUAAUACGUAGGGGGCAAGCGUUAUCCGGAUUUACUGGGUGUAAAGGGGGCGCAGACGGCGAUGCAAGCCAGGAGUGAAAGCCCGGGGCCCAACCCCGGGACUGCUCUUGGAACUGCGUGGCUAGAGUGCAGGAGGGGCAGGCGGAAUUCCUGGUGUAGCGGUGAAAUGCGUAGAUAUCAGGAGGAACACCGGCGGCGAAGGCGGCCUGCUGGACCGCGACUGACGUUGAGGCUCGAAAGCGUGGGGAGCGAACAGGAUUAGAUACCCCCGUAU
rnacentral:rRNA from 1 species